rnacentral:rRNA from 1 species
UGGGGAAUAUUGGACAAUGGGCGAAAGCCUGAUCCAGCAAUGCCGCGUGAGUGAAGAAGGCCUUAGGGUUGUAAAGCUCUUUUACCCGGGAUGAUAAUGACAGUACCGGGAGAAUAAGCUCCGGCUAACUCCGUGCCAGCAGCCGCGGUAAUACGGAGGGAGCUAGCGUUGUUCGGAAUCACUGGGCGUAAAGCGCACGUAGGCGGCUUUGUAAGUUAGAGGUGAAAGCCCGGGGCUCAACUCCGGAACUGCCUUUAAGACUGCAUCGCUUGAAUCUGGGAGAGGUAAGUGGAAUUCCGAGUGUAGAGGUGAAAUUCGUAGAUAUUCGGAAGAACACCAGUGGCGAAGGCGGCUUACUGGACCAGAAUUGACGCUGAGGUGCGAAAGCGUGGGGAGCAAACA